rnacentral:lncRNA from 10 species
GUCACAACUCAGCAAAGCUCAAUCAGAGCUAAGUUUCCAAGAGAUGACUCAUACAGAGAAAAUGUGUACAGGACACAGAAUUUGUGAAUAAUCGGAGUAUGAGGAGAAAUAGAAGAGUCAGCAGAAUGAACGUGUGGUUAUCUGGUCAGGGCUCUGAAGAUGUCUUGGUAGCUCCUGCAUGUCUAGCAGAAUGCCUUUCAUAUCACAGUCACUCAAUCAAUACUUGUUGAAUAAGUGGACGAAGAAAACCUUCUAAUCUCACAGGAGGCCCGGUAUCAGCAGAUUCACUCGUGUCACAGUAUGAACAACUUUAAAAGAUACUUAGAAGAUGUCAAGAAGAAAGCAGAAAUGAUUGACUCUGAGGAAGAUUUUCAUGCAUGCAAUUUAUUGAGGAAUGCUCUUGGGACUAUCUGUGAGGGUAUGAGGGAAACAGGAUUGGACAGAAGCUACAAGAGUGACCUUCGUCAAUCUCAUGGGAGCUCUGAAUAUGGAAGGAACCCUCAGAGGUAUCUUUCAUUGAGAUAAGGAGUGUGAGUCAUUGGAUUGGAGGGCCCCUGAGGGAGUGGUGUAACCUGAGAUUAGGAAACUCACCUUGGCAGAGGGCAAUUCCUGGGGAGGGUCUCAGCUGUGGCUAUCAGCAGCCAACGCUUCCACGGGAUGGGGAAGGAGUGCUUUGGUCCUGGAAGAAGGAUCAGGGCCAUACAACACAGCAUCCACUAUGGUAAUGCUUCCCAUCAAAAGAUGGAGUUUAUUUCUGGACUGGCCUUAUGACUUGCUUUGACCAAUAGAAUGUGGUGGAAGUGACAUCGCAGAGCCUAGGCCUCAAGAUGCUUUGCAACUCCUGCUUUUGCCCUUUUGGAGCCCUGAGCCCUGAUUUUAUCUUGUAAAAAAACCUGGGCUGGCCAUCUUUAGGAUGAGACCUUGUGGAGCCUGUGGCUGGCACUAACCACCAGAGACACCUAAGCCAUCCCACUCCAGUCAAAUUGCCAGAGACUUCAGCUAUAUGACAGAUCCCAGGAGAGACCAGAAGAACAAUGGCGCGCUGAGUCCAGACCAAACAGAUGAUCCGCAGAAUCACGAGAAAAUAAAAUUACUAACUUUUGGGAUGGCUUGUUAUGCAGCAAAAUAUAAUUGAUACAGCAGAAAAAUUGAUACCUAGAAACAGGUUGCUGCCGGAAAAAAACUCAAUACAUGUGCCAUUAGCUUUGGGGCUAGGCAGGGGGUGGAUCUAGAAAAGUGCAAGGAAACUGUUGGUGAAGACUGGAAAAAUGAUGAAAACUAUUUUUCAAAGUUGGGAAGGUGGCAAUACAUGUAACAUAGUAGCAAAACAAUUGUCAAAAAUAUUGUAUGUAGUAACUUGGAAGAUAAAAAAUAUACCUAACAAAAUUUUGUAUUUGGUUAAGUAGAUUAUCAAGUAAAAUGCUGG